ACCUUGGGAUGCCGAUUAAUUCAUGUUGGACAAAAGUCUGUAUAUGUUCCUACUGAUGCAAAAGUUUUCAAUUAUAUAUUAUUGCGUUCCUUUCUGCUCCCCAGUGUGCAUUUGAACAUUCAUACAAACAUAUGUACUACAAAUAACUAACUCGCUUUACUACUGAGCUGCGUUGUAAUUUUAAGAGUGCCAAAUCAAGUAGCAAGACACCAAGAAAUCACGUUUUAAUUCAUAAAGAAGGGUGUGAGUUUAACUAGCAAAAGGAAAACAUUAAUUGUGAACUAUUGUAAUUGUCUAAAUGUCUGUUCAUGUUUCCGAAACCGAUUUUUCUGCAGACGACAGUAUUAAAGAUCUGGACUUUAAUACUACUGGAAGUAAACGAAAGAGCUCAUUAAGUGCGGAAUCAGGACCGGCCCUAAAAAAAAGUCUGUGUGAAUUCACAAAAAAUUAUUUUCAAAGAAGAAUUUUACACAGAAGUGGAAAAAAUUAGU
rnacentral:lncRNA from 1 species